GAAUAACAACGGAAAUUUCUUAAAAUUGGUUGAGUUAUUGGCAAAAUUUGAUAAUGUUAUGGCUGAGCAUGUACGAAGAGUGAAAAAUGGAGAGAUUCACACCCAUUAUUUGGUGUAGCAGGGUGGUCACCGGCUCCAUCCUGGGAAGGGUUAAAGUCAGCCCUGCAGAGGCUGGGCUGUGGAAGGAAAGAGUGGGUUGAUUGGGGGAAGCAGCUGCAGCUGGGCCAUGUCCCAGUCAGAGCCAAGCUGGCCCUAUAAAGAGGCUGGGAGCUAAGAGCUCAGCAGUCUUCCUCUACCUGUAGAGGGAGAAGGGCCUGGCUGCAGGGAGCUAGACACAGGGUACUGGAGUGAAGCAGGGCUGGAGAAAGGCAGAGGAGCUCCUGCCUGGAAAGCCCCAGGCUGCGGCCAAGCAUAAGGCCAAGAGGUACUAGGGGUUUCAGGGGGCAGCCCUAGGGUAGGCAAAGGCAGUAGGUCCAAACCCCUUUGCCUAUGAUGAAUGGCUGAUACUGCAGUCUGCUGCAGUGAACGGGGGCUAGAUGGAGACUGGGCAGUAGCCAAAACUGAGGCAAAGUGGGGAUAAUGGGUUGGGGGUUCCCCAGGGAGGGGAGACCCAGAUUGGUGGGGUACUGCCAGGGGGCAGCAUCCCAGUUAAAAGGGCACUGGGGUCCAGGGAGGGAUAUGGGGGCCAAGAGGACAGGUGGAUCACUGGCCUGCAGAGGGCCCUCCUGGCUGGCAGUGAGCUAAUUCCCGAGGACAACCAGCAGGAGGUGCCGCAGGGAUUAUGAACAAACAGGAAAAUGAAGGUGAAGAUGACUGAGUUAGCUGCAGAAGCCAAUAUUUUAAGUUUCUCGUGUUGACCUGGCUGACAUAGUCAAUUUAAUUUUUAUUUUAAAUACUUCAUUUAACUAUUUUAGUUAAACAAUUAACAAAAACAAACUAUUUUAAAAAAACAUGAAUGUUUAACUAAAUUCAAAAAUUCAUAUGCUUCUUUUGUUAAAAUAUUAUGUUUGCUGUUGAAGAAAAAAAUCCAGAAUACAUAAUGUUGUUGUAGUUAAAUAAAACAAUUUAAAUGUCUGCCUGGUGAUGUUCUCCUCCUAAUACAGCAUGGCAAGAAAAUGAUUAAAUAUUAAUGAUUAACCUGUUGAAUUGGAGAUAGUUCACCUCACAAUGACUUCAUAAAUAUCUGCUUCAAUUACCUUUGGUAAAUGAAAUAACCAAUCAUUCAUUUUCUGAUAUAGCUGUAAAAGUAAUCUUAAAAAGUUUUCAAAAUAAAUCACUUUAAAAAUGUAUAGUGUGUAACUUCUAAAAAUGAAACCCACAUCUAUCUCUGAGUUGUGAAGAAUAUGUAUUAAGGUUAUAACAACCAACAAGAAUGCACUUUUAUGUAGAAAUCUAUGAUUAAAUUUCUUCCUGACUAGUGAUUUAAAUGAUGAUUUAAAUCAAUCUGCUUUAAAUCAAAUCCACUCUGUCCAAGAGUUACUUUGUAACAUUAACUUGCACUUGUUGCAUAUACUAGGCCAAAUUCUCCUUUAGUGUAAACAGUGCAGCUCCACUGACUUCAAUGCAGGUAAUCCAGUUUACACCAGCUGAGUAUCAGGCCCUAUGUAUUUAGGUAUACAUGUAAUGACCUAAAUAAUCAUUGGAAAUACAUGCAAUGUGAGAGAAUCCAAACAGCUGGGGUGGAGCGGAGUGAGUUCACACCAGUGCUGGUAUAACAGUGCAGCAGCAACAAAAAGACCACCCUGACAUUAGCCCCCCUGUCAUAAGCAGACAGUUAAGGGUUAAUUCCUCUUUUACCUGUAAAGGGUUAAGAAGUUCACAUGGCCCAGCUGACACCUGAUGAGAGGAACCAAUGGGGGGACAAGAUGUUUUCCAAGAGGGAGGAGGGAAAUCAGUCUUUGUCUGUUCAGAAAAGUUUGUGCAGGAGUGAAGGAUCUAGGAAUCAGCAAUCUAACAUUUCUUACAAAUAGUAAGUGUUUAGAGAAGGAAUGUAUUAGAUUAUGUUUAUUUUCUUUUGUGACUUCAUUUUGCAUAAGAGGGAGAAUCAAAUUGGGUGUCUUUGUGUAACUAAGGUUUUUGCCCAGAGGGACAUCCUCUGUGUUUUGAAUCUGUUGUCUGUGAGAAUAGCUUGCAUGCUAAUCACACAGAGGUAUUCCUUUCACCCUUUUCCUUUUAAUUAAAAGUCUUCUUUUAAAGAA